rnacentral:rRNA from 1 species
GACGAACGCUGGCGGCGUGCUUAACACAUGCAAGUCGAACGGAAAGGCCCUGCUUUUGUGGGGUGCUCGAGUGGCGAACGGGUGAGUAACACGUGAGUAACCUGCCCUUGACUUUGGGAUAACUUCAGGAAACUGGGGCUAAUACCGGAUAGGAGCUCCUGCUGCAUGGUGGGGGUUGGAAAGUUUCGGCGGUUGGGGAAGGACUCGCGGCUUAUCAGCUUGUUGGUGGGGUAGUGGCUUACCAAGGCUUUGACGGGUAGCCGGCCUGAGAGGGUGACCGGCCACAUUGGGACUGAGAUACGGCCCAGACUCCUACGGGAGGCAGCAGUGGGGAAUAUUGGACAAUGGGCGGAAGCCUGAUGCAGCAACGCCGCGUGCGGGAUGACGGCCUUCGGGUUGUAAACCGCUUUCGCCUGUGACGAAGCGUGAGUGACGGUAAUGGGUAAAGAAGCACCGGCUAACUACGAG